rnacentral:rRNA from 1 species
CGCGUAGGCGGCUUUAUAAGUCAGAUGUGAAAUCCCACGGCUCAACUGUGGAAGUGCAUUUGAAACUGUGAGGCUUGAGUAUCGGGGGGGAGUGUGGAAUUCCCGGUGUAGAGGUGAAAUUCGUAGAGAUCGGGAGGAACACCGGUGGCGAAGGCGACACUCUGGACGAAUACUGACGCUGAGGCGCGAAAGCGUGGGGAGCAAACA